UACGUAGGGGGCAAGCGUUGUCCGGAUUUAUUGGGCGUAAAGCGCGUGUAGGCGGCUUUGCAAGUCGGGUGUGAAAGCCCUCGGCUCAACCGAGGAAGUGCGCCCGAAACUGCAGAGCUUGAGUACCGGAGAGGAUGGCGGAAUUCCCCAAGUAGAGGUGAAAUUCGUAGAUAUGGGGUGGAACACCGGUGGCGAAGGCGGCCAUCUGGACGACAACUGACGCUGAGACGCGAAAGCGUGGGGAGCAAACAGG
rnacentral:rRNA from 1 species